rnacentral:rRNA from 1 species
UACGAAGGGUACAAGCGUUGUUCGGAAUUACUGGGCGUAAAGCGCGCGUAGGCGGACGCGUAAGUGGAUUGUGAAAGCCCUGGGCUUAACCUGGGAACUGCAGUCCAUACUGCGCAUCUUGAGUGCCUGAGAGGAUGGCGGAAUUCCCGGUGUAGUAGUGAAAUACGUAGAUAUCGGGAAGAACACCUGAGGCGAAGGCGGCUAUCUGGCGGUGCACUGACGCUGAGGCGCGAAAGCGUGGGGAGCAAACAGG